rnacentral:rRNA from 1 species
UGGUGCCUACGGGAGGCAGCAGUGAGGAAUAUUGGUCAAUGGACGAGAGUCUGAACCAGCCAAGUAGCGUGAAGGAUGACUGCCCUAUGGGUUGUAAACUUCUUUUAUAUGGGAAUAAAAUGUUCCACGUGUGGGAUUUUGUAUGUACCAUAUGAAUAAGGAUCGGCUAACUCCGUGCCAGCAGCCGCGGUAAUACGGAGGAUCCGAGCGUUAUCCGGAUUUAUUGGGUUUAAAGGGUGCGCAGGCAGAUUUUUAAGUCAGCGGUCAAAUCGUGGGGCUCAACCCCAUCCAGCCGUUGAAACUGG